rnacentral:rRNA from 1 species
AUGCGGCUCAACCCGGUCCGGUACAACGCCUUCUUCUACUGCAACUCGACCUCGUUCGUGGUGUCGGUCAUCGUCAUCGUGUUGCUGCUGCAGGAGUGUCUGCAGAACAACAUCUUGCUACUCUAUGCCAUGAACACGGCAAUCGUGCUCGACUUGUUCGGCCUCCUCGCGGCGUACGCGGUCGGCAGCAGCCGGGAGUGGAAGGCGAUGGGGUACGUCAUCGCGCUAUUCACCACCGUGCUCGCCUACAUCACCAUCCACCUCGUGCUUUGGUUCCUGGGCAGGAGAGCCCGGGACAAAGUAAAUAAUACUCCUGCCUGUGAACCGGAGUCAUUG